UGUCAGGGAACUGACAUCAGAGGCACGGGAGAAGGAGAGGGUUUCUGAUUCUGCAGGAGAAGGUCCCAGCGCUAGGGGGAGACUCAGCUGGGAAAGAGGGGAAGAGAAUGAGUGUAACACCAGGGAUCCAGGAGAGCAACGGGACAGGGAGGGGCAGGGGCUCCAGGACUCUUCGUUGGAAGUUAGUGAGGAGAGCCCAAGCACCCCACUGCCCACGCCCACCCUGCGCAGGAGACUCCCGCGCACUGAGAGGCGGAGACCCUUAGGCGUCAAACAACUCUUAUGUUGGCAGCGCUUUAAGAAACGCCCACAGACAGAUUCUACGAGUGACUAAGGGCAGCCAUGCUGAGAUGGGCUGUGCAGUCCGGAGGGUUUAACCAGGCAAUCCGAUGCUCAAACGGGGCAGGAUUAUGCACGAG